GGGGAGGCCAAGGAGAAACAGGAGGAGCCCCUCAUCCAACAGAUUCAUCAGCAAGUGCUAAAACUAUAAAUUAUUUUAAUGUUAAAUGUAGGAACCUUAAUUAUAGUUCUAAAUAAAA